UGUGAAAUCCCCGGGCUCAACCGUGCGAGUCGAGCGGUAGCACAGGGGAGCUUGCUCCCUGGGUGACGAGCGGUGGAAGGGCUGUUUGUCUGGGAACUGCCUGAUGGAGGGGGAAACUACUGGAAACGGUAGCGAAUUAACGUCGCACCGCAAAGACCAAAGAGGGGGACCUUCGGGCCUCUUGCCAUCAGAUGUGCCCAGAUGGGAUUAGCUAGUAGGUGGGGUAAUGGCUCACCUAGGCGACGAUCCCUAGCUGGUCUGAGAGGAUGACCAGCCACACUGGAACUGAGACACGGUCCAGACUCCUACGGGAGGCAGCAGUGGGGAAUAUUGCACAAUGGGCGCAAGCCUGAUGCAGCCAUGCCGCGUGUGUGAAGAAGGCCUUCGGGUUGUAAAGCACUUUCAGCGAGGAGGAAGGUGGUGAACUUAAUACGUUCAUCAAUUGACGUUACUCGCAGAAGAAGCACCGGCUAACUCCGUGCCAGCAGCCGCGGUAAUACGGAGGGUGCAAGCGUUAAUCGGAAUUACUGGGCGUAAAGCGCACGCAGGCGGUUUGUUAAGUCAGAUGGGGCUCAUGAAAUCCCCACCUGGGAACUGCAUUUGAAACUGGCAAGCUAGAGUCUCGUAGAGGGGGGUAGAAUUCCAGGUGUAGCGGUGAAAUGCGUAGAGAUCUGGGAGGAAUACCGGUGGCGAAGGCGGCCCCCUGGACGAGACUGACGCUCAGGUGCGAAAGCGUGGGGAGCAAACAGGAUUAGAUACCCUGGUAGUCCACGCUGUAACGAUGUCGAUUGGAGUUGUGCCAUGAGGCGUGGCUUCCGGAGCUAACGCGUAAAUCGAACGGCUGGGGGAGUACGCCGCAAGUUUAACCUCAAAUGAAUUGACCGGGGUCCGCACAAGCGGUGGAGCAUGUGGUUUAAUUCGAUGCAACGCGAAGAACCUUACCUACUCUUGACAUCCAGAGAACUUUCCAGAGAUGGAUUGGUGCCUUCGGGACUCUGAGACAGGUGCUGCAUGGCUGUCGUCAGCUCGUGUUGUGAAAUGUUGGGGUAAGUCCCGCAACGAGCGCAACCCUUAUCGUUAACCAAAGUGGUAAGCGCCCUCCCGUAGGUUAAGCUACCUACAAGAUUGCACCCACUCCCAGGAGGCCCCCUGUGUACAGGCCCGGGACGUAAAAAAAAGAGGACACGAUUACUAGCGAUUCCGACUUCAUGGAGUCGAGUUGCAGACUCCAAUCCUUUACCCCUUACCAGAAAUAGGAGGUCCGCUUGCUCUCGCGAGGUCGCUUCUCUUUGUAUAUGCCAUUGUAGCACGUGUGUAGCCCUACUCGUAAGGGCCAUGAUGUCUUGACGUCAUCCCCACCUUCCUCCAGUUUAUCACUGGCAGUCUCCUUUGAGUUCCCGGCCGAACCGCUGGCAACAAAGGAUAAGGGUUGCGCUCGUUGCGGGACUUAACCCAACAUUUCACAACACGAGCUGACGACUUUCAUGCAGCACCUGUCUCAGAGUUCCCGAAAGGCACCAAUCCAUCUCUGCUAAGUUCUCUGGAUGUCAAGAGUAGCGAAUACCGCAUAACGUCGC
rnacentral:rRNA from 1 species